UAGGGAAUCUUCGGCAAUGGGGGGAACCCUGACCGAGCAACGCCGCGUGAGUGAAGAAGGUUUUCGGAUCGUAAAGCUCUGUUGUUAAGGAAGAACGAGUGUGAGAAUGGAAAGUUCAUACUGUGACGGUACUUAACCAGAAAGGGACGGCUAACUACGUGCCAGCAGCCGCGGUAAUACGUAGGUCCCGAGCGUUGUCCGGAUUUAUUGGGCGUAAAGCGAGCGCAGGCGGUUAGAUAAGUCUGAAGUUAAAGGCAGUGGCUCAACCAUUGUAGGCUUUGGAAACUGUUUAACUUGAGUGCAGAAGGGGAGAGUGGAAUUCCAUGUGUAACGGUGAAAUGCGUAGAUAUAUGGAGGAACACCGGUGGCGAAAGCGUCUCUCUGGUCUGUAACUGACGCUGAGGCUCGAAAGCGUGGGGAGCGAACAGG
rnacentral:rRNA from 1 species